CCUGCCAUCCCAGACUCGACAAACCUAGCCUUUGCGCCGUCACGGUGUUUACGAUUAAUUUAAUAUUCCCGUCUGGAGUUGUUCUGCAGUUGUCUGGAGUUCCCGCCCUCCCCCGCCUCGGCGGUGCCGGGGAGCGUCAGGGAGCCCAAGGUCUCCCUGGCGAGCGUCGCAGGGCCCAGGGGUUCCGGCAGGGCGUCUCGGCUCCCUCGGGGCGUCCAUGGCGGUGCCGUAGAUCCCGAGUGUCCAGGGGCGUGGGGAGGGGAGUGCGUUUGCUGUUGUGUGUUGGUAUGAGCGGGUCUUUUCUGGGGUGAAGGAGAUUCAUUCGUAUCAGCACACAGCACCAAGGAAAGGCGAUUUCAGAACAACUCCACGACAGGGAUAUUACAGGUGAAAAACACCGAAAAUAAGGAAAAUAAACUAAAAGAACAUCAGAAAUAGGAUAAUACAGAAGAGGAAUUCCAGGAAAUAGAUAAGAAAGAAGCACAGAUGAGAAAAAGGAAAAAAUAAAACAAAAACACAUGCAAAAAUCCAGUAUGAAGGCCUUUGGUGUGGUAUAUUGGUAUGGGUGAGCCUUCUUUGGGGUGAAGGAGACUCGUCUGUAGCAAGAUACGGCACCAAGAAAAGCCGAAUACAGUAAAAACAACGCAAGAAAAAGGAAAGGGAAGAAAGAGAAAACCAGCACAAAGAAAAUACAGAAAAAAGAACACCAGAAAAAAGAAUACGAUCGAAACACAACAUCUUAAAACGGAAAAAGUCAUCAUCCACAUAUUUGGCUCUCAAUGGAAUGCUGACCCUGACUCAACUGUCGGGGUGGGAUGCUGACCCUGACUUAAUUGUCGGGAUGGGACGCUGACCCUGACUUAAUUGUCGGGGUGGGAUGCUGACCCUGACUUAAUUGUCGGGGUGGGAUGCUGACCCCAGCUUGAAUGUUGGGGUGGGAUGCUGACCCCAGCUUGAAUGUUGGGGUGGGAUGCUGACCCCAGCUUGAAUGUUGGGGUGGGAUGCUGACCCCAGCUUGAAUGUUGGGGUGGGAUGCUGACCCUGACGUAAAUGUCGGGGUGGGAUACUGACCCUGACGUAAAUGUCGGGGUGGGAUACUGACCUUUAAAGGAAGGAAAAUGAGUUGUUGCGAUGUUUUAUUUUAUCGACAAAGGAAUCGACGUUUUGGAAACAAAGAAAGGAAAAUAUGGUUUUGAGUUGGUUUAGUUUUAUCGACAAAGGAAUCAACAUUUUAUAAACGAAGAAAGGAUAACGAGUUAUUGCGACGUGUUUUUAUCGACAAAGGACAAAGAUACGGCACCAGGUAGAGGCGAUGUAGAUACUCUACACAACACUGUCACACGACAAAUAAAGAAAAAUAACACCGGAGACAGGAUAAUACAGAAAAGGAAUACCAGGAAAGAGAAAUCAGAUACAAAACACAACAUUAGCAAAACGAACAACUAGGAUUAAGGACUUUGGUGUGGUAUGUUGGCACGGGUGAGCCUUCUCUGGGGUGAAGGAGACUCAGCUGUAGCAAGAUACCGCGUCACGAAAAGGCGAUGUAGAUACUCCACACCACACCAGCACACGGGAAAUAAAGAAAAAUGACACCGGCGGAAGGAAAAUGCAGAAAAAGAAUACAAGGAAAAAGAUCACAUAGAAACACAACAUCAACAAAGGGAAAACAACAACAACAACAACAACGACAACAACAAAGUAUAUUAAUAAUAAUC